ACUUAAAUUGAAGAGUUUGAUCAUGGCUCAGAUUGAACGCUGGCGGCAGGCCUAACACAUGCAAGUCGAGCGGUAGCACAGAGAGCUUGCUCUCGGGUGACGAGCGGCGGACGGGUGAGUAAUGUCU
rnacentral:rRNA from 5 species